rnacentral:rRNA from 1 species
UCCGUAGGGUGCGAGCGUUAAUCGGAAUUACUGGGCGUAAAGCGUGCGCAGGCGGUUUUGUAAGUCAGAUGUGAAAUCCCCGGGCUUAACCUGGGAACUGCGUUUGAAACUACAAGGCUAGAGUGUGGCAGAGGGGGGUGGAAUUCCACGUGUAGCAGUGAAAUGCGUAGAGAUGUGGAGGAACACCGAUGGCGAAGGCAGCCCCCUGGGUUAACACUGACGCUCAGGCACGAAAGCGUGGGGAGCAAACAGG